AGCGGCGGACGGGUGAGUAAUGCCUAGGAAUCUGCCUGGUAGUGGGGGACAACGUUUCGAAAGGAACGCUAAUACCGCAUACGUCCUACGGGAGAAAGCAGGGGACCUUCGGGCCUUGCGCUAUCAGAUGAGCCUAGGUCGGAUUAGCUAGUUGGUGGGGUAAUAGCCUACCGAGGCAAUGAUCAGUAGCUGGUCUGAGAGGACAAUCAGCCACACUGGGACUGAGACACGGCCCAGACUCCUACAGGAGGCAGCAGUGAGGAAUUUUCCGCAAUGGGCGAAAGCCUGACGGAGCAAUGCCGCGUGGAGG
rnacentral:rRNA from 1 species